AACUAAAAGACAAAAAAAAUAACAAGAAGAAGUUAUAUUUUUGUAAUUAGUUCAUUGUUUUUAUGUGCCUGCUGUUUUAUUAUCCUUAAU
rnacentral:ribozyme from 1 species